UGAUACACUGUAGUAUAAUCGAAUGUAUUGGUCUUCUCCAUUAGUGGCAAUGCAGUGAUCUUGAACACAUUGGAGGAAUCUACGAGAAAAACCACUAUCAACAUUCAGAGGAAAAACUGUGGCAGUAGAAACACAGAAGAAAAACAAUUGCUUGAAUACAUGGGUCGAGGGGAAAUGGCUGGGGAUGUAGACUCUAUAUGAACAUCUUAAUGCAAACACCAAGAACAUGGAAAUAAAUUCUGAUCAAGGACGCAACCCUAGGGAAGGACAGAAAAUUAUGAAGGCUCUCAAAAGUUGCUUCUAUGCUGAUAUGGAAAUGAACUGAAUACAGGCACCCCCUUUGUAGAACUCCAAUUUUUGGAAGUGGUUUUGGACUGACCAAAUCAUAGACCUGAGGGGAAAUAUGUCCUCUUUCUGAUUGGCCUGACUUGGUGGAUAUUUCAAAAGUGAAGUUGGACUUAGACUUAGUUGGAUUACUCCGACAUUGCGUCACCACUGAAGAGAAGGAUCUUCACCCAGCAAUCAAAAGGCAACCAAAGACAAGAGACAGAGAACAUCUACAUGUUCCAAAGAGAGAAAGCUUGUCUGGAAUGACCAAAGGGUAGACUCUUUGAAGGGCUACUACCAUGGGAAUUGAAUUAAUAUUGUAGAAGGGAUUCAUACUUUUGGAACGAGUUGGUCAGUAUAAUUUGAUUUAGUGUCCUAGAUCCAUGGUAAAGAAAGACCUGAAUUUGAAUGCCACCUUUGACAUAUAAUUACAAAAAAAUUACUUUACUUUUUUGUCUUAGUUUCUUUCUG
rnacentral:lncRNA from 1 species